AGGGAACUCUUCAGAAUAAGAAAUACGGAGCAGAUCCUUAAAGAUUAAUUUUGAAAAUUAUUUUGUAGUGUUUCUCUUGCCAAGCUGGCUAGCUUGAAAAGUCUUUGCUAUUAACUGUAGAUCCUAGAUUCACAGAACUACGUUUUUACAGGGCCUGCUCUCUGGCUUGUCUGGGAUUCAUAGAUCUUCCCUUAAAUCCAUUUCCCCCUUUCUUCAUCUUCUAAAUGGAAAAUGAACAUUGGCAAGCUGUGUGUUUCUAAAUGAAGGGCUUGAACAGCCCUUCUAGAGCUUCCCAGGGCCUUGGCCUCCUCACAGCCUCUGUUUAUCUGGGAAAAAGCUGUGUUGAAAGUCACCAGAGUCUGACCACAAGAGGUUUUGGGUUUUGUCAGGAAAGGCAAAACCAUCUUCAAAUGUCCGAUGAACAAAUUCCCUCCUCUCUAAAGCAAAUGUCCAAUCACCCCACAGUUGCUCGUGCUUACUUUGUGAGCCAUCAUGAUGUUCACCAGCCGUGUUGUUGGGGGAAUGAGAGAUUCAGCCUCCUUUCUGGACAGGUCUUUCAGUGAUUGUUCAUUUAGUGCUAACAGUUCAUCCCUUGGGCUCAGGCAAUCAUCCCUUAAAGGAAGAAAAGAAACAUUUCUAUAUUAUUUCCCACAGAAUAAUAUGUCCCAGUUCGGUGUGCUACCUGUCUUGCUAUCUGAGGAGUCAACUGCAAUUCUCCCUUUGCCUUGACCUCAGCUGCCAUGAGGUGCCUGAGUGUGUGAUACACCCCAUUCCCUGCUAGGAUUUUUCCCUGUUGCUGCUCUCUUCUACCUAGUCCUGGUGAUCACUGGCUGCCUGAUGAUCACACAGCUGGCAUUCAGGCAAGAUAUUCCUCCCUUCUCACUAUCUUGCACUGAAAAAUUGACCAAGGACUACAUUUACUUCCUGUCAGGAACCUUGGCUCACAUUGCUUUCCAUGGCCUUGUGGGACUGAUGCCAGCCAACACUGCCCUUUAACAAGGGAUCACCAUUUGAGAACCUGUACACUCUCUCUUCUUCCAGGUUUUAUUUCUUGGUGUAAUUGAGCAGCAUAGAUCCCUGAGUGGUCGCAGUUUUAUUUUUCUACAAUCUUGACCUGUGUCUCCAACUGGAAGCAAGAUUGUCUGCCUUUGAUGAGGAGUGUCUGAAUUUUACGAAGCCUUUUUUGUUCAUGAAGAAUUUUUCUGUUCUUCAAGGUCUUCGGCACAGUAACAAAAUAAAGAUUAACAUUCUGAUGCCUUAAAAUUUGAGAUCUUGAGUAGCAAAAAAUGGGACACAUGCCAGGCUGGAAAUUCUGGGUUGUAUUAGAACAUCCAUGUGAAACAUCACCAAAUCAAAACUGAUAUGAAGAUUUUUCCAAGAACUAACUUCAGGACACUUAGGAAACUUUUAUCUACGUUGCCAUGUGGAAAUUGCUGAUUUUGUGAGAAGCAAACUGUAAAGGAGAUCUGCUUGUUUAUACAAAGACCAGCUGGCAGUCCACCAUACCACACCAGACCAAGCACACCUCAUCUCAGAAAGUGUCUGAACAAGUGACACCAGGGUAACCCUGGGCCUCUAGACACAGCAAGGAACAGUCAGUAACCUAACUGAUGCUAAUGUUGCCAUUCUAGAGAAAAGACCAAUUGAAAUAAUUAAGUAUAUAUAUGUAUAUAUAUAUGCACUUUGUACCUGAAGUUCCACUGAUGAUACAGAAAGAAAGAAUGCAGAUUUUCUAAAGGCUCCUUACAGCCACGACAAUAAACACAGGCCUACAAACUCAGACCAAGCCAGGAUAAUAAAUUCAAGUCAGCAUGAGUAGCCUCUCUUAUGAAUGAAGAGUUUGGUGUGAUUGAGAGCUGCAGCAGCACAGCCACACUCUCUUCCUGUGACACAGAGCACACGAAUGUAAGACCAGAAUGUGGAGUUGAAAAAGAAAGAAUGGCUGGGCUGAAGAGAAUUUCUGCAAGUCUCUGCUCUCAGCACCUGGGUAGGAAGCAACAGAGCUGGAGUAAUUGUUCAGUGCCCAGUGGUGAACAGAAAAGCGGUUUUUAGAAGCCAUGAGGAAAAGGAGAGGGAGAACCUCUACUGUGCCUGCCUCUUGUGUUAAUGGUAUAUAAGGGCCUUCAAAACUGAGGAAGGCUGUGAACUCACAAAGGUCUCUGGUCCACUCUGCAGGCUUUUAUAUACAUCAAGAGAAAGAGGAGAAAUAUUUUACAGGACACCAGAAGUGCCCUAAAUUAAGCAGAUUGUUGCAGUGUGAUGUCUUUGCAGUCCGUGUACAUACCGGCAUGAGGCAGAAUUCAGAUCACGGGAACAUGAAGGCAGAUGCAUUUGAAUCACAAAUAUGGUUACAUAGAAGUUCAUCAUUAAGGAACAUUUAAACGCAAUUUUGGAAAAUUAUCUUCUUAGACCAAGAUCUCCAAGGGUAUGUGCAACAUAAUUCCUGACAAUUUUAAUGUGAACAAACUGAAGAAACAGCUCUUCAGUCUCUCAGGACUGGUUUCUCUGUUGCGCAUGGGACUUGUGCUAAGAGUUGGGAGAAUUGAGUGUUGAGGAUUAGACUCCCUUUUACAGCUUGCAGAGCAAAGUCAAACCAGCAUGAAGCGGGGAGCUGACAGAGCAAGGCUUGCCCCUCUGUGCUGUGCUCGGGCAAGGAAACAAGGCAGGUCAGGCAGAGAGUGGAUACAAGACCUGGGACAAAGUCUAAAACAGAAUAUAGUUAGAAGUGUAGCUGACAAACACAGAGAUUUCAUAAUUUUCACCUGUAUUUAAUGUAUUUUGCAUAUCACGUUUGAUUUUUUUUAAAUUUUGUGGCUUCCUUAGUUUAAUUUUCAUACAUUGAAGUCUUAAGUGUUUCUAAAACAACAGCUAUGGUUUUAAAAGAUCAUUUCACACCCACCCCACUCAAAUUACAACAGACGUGCAAUAUUAAUUAUGGAUGAGUGGGCACAGAUGUUAACAAAAUCACCCGCUUACCUGCCCACUCCACCAAAUUUUCCAGUACUUGGAUAUUUUCUUCCACUGAUGUGUAGAAUUUUAUUGUAGUGUUCUCUGUGCCUUUUUUUCCCCCUCAGAUGUUUUAUUCAGUUACUAAACCUGCAUAUGGCUUCCUCCUUUAUCAGCUGUCUGAGCUAAAACAAUACUUCGUGACAAUCACUGAACUGAAAAACAGCUCUGAAGAUACUGAUGUGAUUAGGUGUGAGGCCAAGAACUUCUGCUGAGUGCUAGAAGAGCACUUUAUAACCACAGUAAAUCAGUACAUUUGGGCUAGACAACAUGGCAGAGAAGUGAUGUGAUGUGAAAUAUGAGCUGGGGAAGAAUGUGAAAGGGAGAGAAGUGAAAAGGCAUAUUUAAACUGGAUUUUCAUUUUCCAGUGUUAAGUGGACUCAUUUGGAUUUAAACAUCUCAGGCUGUUUUACAGUAAUGGCAAGAAUUGUGCUGUUUAGAAACAUGUGAUGCCAUCGUGUGGACAAUAUUAAAAAGUGAAAAAACAGCUUUUAAAAAAACUUGGAAACAGAGGGAAAGAAUGUUACCAUUUAAUAGAAGUCUGCUUCCUCAGAAUGAUAGAAUAGUGCAUCACUUUAUAUUCCUACUAUAGAUUAUCUUCAUAAGAAAGGAAAUCUUCUCAUUUUGGAGUUUCACAGAAUAUUCUGAGUUGAAAGGGACCCACGAGGAUCAUCAACUCCAAUACCUAAAUUUCCUUUGUUCAGUCAUUCUGGCUAACAGCCCCCUUGCUCUGCACACCUGACCUCAGGCAAGUAGCAUAAACUUUCUAAUUAGGUAUUACUUAUAUCUAUGCAUGAUUCUGAGCCUGUUCUGUAAAACUAAGACAGGGUACAGCCUUAUAUAUCUGUUCUUAGAGAGGGAUCCAAUGCACAUUAUCAGUACAUGCUACCACUGCCAUGUGUAACUUUGUUGCCUUACCAGUUUGUCAGAAACCCCUCCUUUUGUCCCAAGAAGAAAGUUUUGCCCGUAUCGAAGUGGUUCACCCACUGCACUUCCAUCCACACUGUAAAAAUUGUAAAAAGGGGAAAAGGUACAUUCAAAUCAUUAGUUUUGCUAUUGUUUAGGUUUUUUGUGUGUUUUCAUCUACAGUUAGAUGUUGCUUUUUGACAAUAUUUUGUAUUGUUUGCGUUUUAAAAUAGGUAAAAUAUCUUAACCUAAGGCUUUGAUUACAGAGCUAGACCCUGUUCUUCUGUUUCUUCUCCAACAAACAGCAACAAUUAAAUAUAUAUUUGAGACAGAGAAUAUGCUGGGUUUUUUAGAACAGAACCAUGCCCACUUCAUGGAAAGCAAAAGCAAUGACAUAUUUCUGCUUUCAGGAGAGUGAAUACUAAUACUAGUGAUAUUUGGACAUGUUUUGUCUGCAACUGGAAUAAAAACCAAA